rnacentral:rRNA from 1 species
UGAGGAAUAUUGGUCAAUGGGCGGGAGCCUGAACCAGCCAAGCCGCGUGAGGGAGGAAGGCCCUAUGGGUCGUAAACCUCUUUUGUCAGGGAACAAAAGCGAGUAUGUAUACUAGUCUGAGUGUACCUGAAGAAAAAGGCAUCGGCUAACUCCGUGCCAGCAGCCGCGGUAAUACGGAGGAUGCGAGCGUUAUCCGGAUUUAUUGGGUUUAAACGGGUGCGUAGGCGGCGGUGCAAGUCAGCGGUAAAAGCCCGGGGCCUCAACCCCGGCGAGCCGUUGAAACUGCAGUGCUAGAGAAGGCGAGAGGUACGCGGAAUGCGCAGUGUAGCGGUGAAAUGCUUAGAUAUUGCGCAGAACUCCGAUUGCGAAGGCAGCGUACUGGCGCCUGACUGACGCUGAGGCACGAAAGCGUGGGGAUCGAACAGGAUUAGAUACC